rnacentral:lncRNA from 1 species
GGCUCUUCCAAGUAACCAAAACAUCUAGUUUCCCCAACAGAGAUCCAUCUGGUAUUUUGGUCAGUCGUGCCUCAUGGUAUAUAUGAAUAACCAGUGGUUUAAAUGGGGAACCACGUCUGCUUCUGGAAUCCUACCAAGUGGGAUCUUGGAGCAGGUUAUGCCGGAGGAAGCCUGCGUCACUCGCUGUAUGUGAAAGUGAAGUGUGAGGAGGUCGUCAUCACACUUACCUGUUGAGGCUUCUGAACUUACCGUCUGCCUCAACAGGCUGGAGUUUCUAAACUGCACGAAAAGCCCCAGCGAGUUGUCACCCAUCGCAGGAGACAGCAAUGAAGAAGAGAUGCACCUGCCCCAUGGUGCAGAGGAUUCUGCCUGUCCCAGCCUCCAGCACAGACCCACUGAAAUGGAUCACAUGAGGCGUCUUAUCUGGUACCAGAUGCUCGGCCAUGCCCUCCACUCGGUGUUAUCCCAGCACUUACCACGUCGGCACAGUGGGGUCAGCAUGACAGUGCUCUCAUGGCAAAGACGGGGAGACCAACUUCCCCGUCACAGCAGGGACACAGUGGGCAGGGAUUUGAACCUGGAUUCGACGUCAGCGUCCACCGUCUUACCCACGGCGAGGCUCUAGGAAGUCUCACUUCUGCAAGGAUCUGAGUGUCACAGAGCAUCUGGAGUGUCUGUCUGGACCGCUGGCUGGGAGCCCUCUCCUGGCAUUUGAACAAGGGGCAGCUGGGUCCUCGGUUUGCUGUGUAAAGAGAGGAGGACAGAGCCCGGAGGAGUUGAACCCCAGCAGAAAGGGGUGCUUGACCAGCAAGAGAGAAGACAACCAAACGCGUGAGCGUCCACGCGGGACCCAGCGCCCGUGCCUGGAGCCAAGGGGAG